GACCUUGCAGAGUUGAGCGCCAA
rnacentral:siRNA from 1 species